GUUUUAAAGGUGCCCCUUGUACCCCCCUCCCUUUUUUACCUUAAAAAACAGUCAUAUCUAUUUCUGUUAAACUUCAUCGUUCUUUUAUCAAUUAAGUUCUCUUUUUUCAUUAUCUGACAUACAUAGUGUUGGGUGUCUGUUAGUAGUUUCGCUUAUCAAAGUUGUAGAACAUGCAUGAAUGUAGAGGACCGCUCGCCAUUGGCCUUUCCAGUAGGAGAGUUUGCUUUGACUGCCUGCACCCAAGAUGUUCAGCUGAUUGAGAUUCUCGUCUUUGAGAUAUGGCCUCACUGCUCUGGGUAAUUCUUACACCAGUUUACAUCAAUUAUUCUAGUAUAUCUGUGCAGUAAUUCACUAGCGAUUGACUGAAGUUCAAUCAUGUACGUCUCUUUGAUUGCUCCAGUCCUUUUUCUGUCCAUUUUGCUAGAAACCAAUUCUAUAUUGAUAUAUCUGGAUAUGUUCUAAAUUUCUG
rnacentral:misc_RNA from 1 species